AAUAAAUUCAUUUUUCAGUUUUUCGAUACAAUGUUUUGACUCUUCGUCUUAUUUAAAAAUAUUUUGUGAUUACUAUUUUUAUUGUUAGUAGAUGAUAAAACAUAAAUAGUACAUUGUGUGAUUAAUUUUUUUAAAUUUUUGUGCAAAUUUCUUAAAUAAGACGAAUAACCAAACUUUGGCCACAUAAAU
rnacentral:pre_miRNA from 1 species